rnacentral:rRNA from 1 species
GAUGAACGCUGGCGGCGUGCUUAACACAUGCAAGUCGAGCGAAGCACUCUGCUUUGAUUCUUUCGGGAUGAAGAGCAUUGUGACUGAGCGGCGGACGGGUGAGUAACGCGUGGGUAACCUGCCUCAUACAGGGGGAUAACAGUUAGAAAUGGCUGCUAAUACCGCAUAAGACCACAGCACCGCAUGGUGCAGGGGGUAAAAACUCCGGUGGUAUGAGAUGGACCCCGCGUCUGAUUAGCUAGUUGUGGGGUAACGGCCUACCAAGGCGACGAUCAGUAGCCGACCUGAGAGGGUGACCGGCCACAUUGGGACUGAGACAC